AACGAACGCUGGCGGCAUGCCUAACACAUGCAAGUCGAACGAGACCUUCGGGUCUGGUGGCGCACGGGUGCGUAACGCGUGGGAACCUGCCCUUAGGUUCGGAAUAACUCCCCGAAAGGGGUGCUAAUACCGGAUAAUGUCUUCGGACCAAAGAUUUAUCGCCUUUGGAUGGGCCCGUGUUGGAUUAGCUAGUUGGUAGGGUAAAAGCCUACCAAGGCGACGAUCCAUAGCUGGUCUGAGAGGAUGAUCAGCCACACUGGGACUGAGACACGGCCCAGACUCCUACGGGAGGCAGCAGUGAGGAAUAUUGGACAAUGGGCGAAAGCCUGAUCCAGCAAUGCCGCGUGAGUGAUGAAGGCCUUAGGGUUGUAAAGCUCUUUUACCCGGGAUGAUAAUGACAGUACCGGGAGAAUAAGCUCCGGCUAACUCCGUG
rnacentral:rRNA from 1 species